rnacentral:rRNA from 1 species
UCCUCGGGUGACGAGUGGCGGACGGGUGAGUAAUGUCUGGGAAACUGCCCGAUGGAGGGGGAUAACUACUGGAAACGGUAGCUAAUACCGCAUAACGUCCCAAGACCAAAGUGGGGGACCUCCGGGCCUCACACCAUCGGAUGUGCCCAGAUGGGAUUAGCUUGUAGGCGGGGUAACGGCCCACCUAGGCGACGAUCCCUAGCUGGUCUGAGAGGAUGACCAGCCACACUGGAACUGAGACACGGUCCAGACUCCUACGGGAGGCAGCAGUGGGGAAUAUUGCACAAUGGGCGCAAGCCUGAUGCAGCCAUGCCGCGUGUAUGAAGAAGGCCUUCGGGUUGUAAAGUACUUUCAGCGGGGAGGAAGGUGCUGAGGUUAAUAACCUCAUCAAUUGACGUUACCCGCAUAAGUAGCACCGGCUAACUCCGUGCCAGCAGCCGCGGUAAUACGGAGGGUGCAAGCGUUAAUCGGAAUUACUGGGCGUAAAGCGCACGCAGGGCGGUCUGUUAAGUCAGAUGUGAAAUCCCCGGGCUUAACCUGGGAACUGCAUUUGAAACUGGCAGGCUUGAGUCUCGUAGAGGGGGGUAGAAUUCCAGGUGUAGCGGUGAAAUGCGUACAGAUCUGGAGGAAUACCGGUGGCGAAGGCGGCCCCCUGGACGAAGACUGACGCUCAGGGUGCGAAAGCGUGGGGAGCAAACAGGAUUAGAUACCCCUGGUAGUCCACGCCGUAAACGAUGUCGACUUGGGAGGUUGUUCCCUUGAGGAGUGGCUUUCCGGGAGCU